rnacentral:rRNA from 1 species
AGAGUUUGAUUAUGGCUCAGGACGAACGCUGGCGGCGUGCUUUAUACAUGCAAGUCGAACGUGAAGCUGACUUCGGUCAGUGGAAAGUGGCGGACGGGUGAGUAAUAUGUAGGAAAUCUGCCCUAGAGAGGGGGACAACAGAGGGAAACUUCUGCUAAUACCCCAUAUGAGCUAAGUUGAAAUACUUAUCUUGAAAACUCCGGUGCUCUAGGAUGAGCCUGCAUCUGAUUAGCUAGUUGGUGGUGUAAUGGACUACCAAGGCGAUGAUCAGUAGCUGGUUUGAGAGGAUGAUCAGCCACAAUGGGACUGAGACACGGCCCAU